UACGUAGGGGGCAAGCGUUGUCCGGAAUCAUUGGGCGUAAAGAGCGCGUAGGCGGCCCUGUAAGUCCGCUGUGAAAGUCAAGGGCUCAACCCUUGAAUGCCGGUGGAUACUGCAGGGCUAGAGUCCGGAAGAGGCGAGUGGAAUUCCUGGUGUAGCGGUGAAAUGCGCAGAUAUCAGGAGGAACACCGGUGGCGAAGGCGGCAUCCUGGACCGAGAUUGACGCUGAGGCGCGAAAGCCAGGGGAGGCAAACGGG
rnacentral:rRNA from 1 species